rnacentral:tRNA from 1 species
CAGAACAUAGCUAAAUUAGUAAAGCAUCUCCCUUACACCGAGAAGUUGCCCGUGCAACCUGGGCUGAUCUGA